AUUUCUGCCGGGUUGUUCGGGACUUCCAGUAUGUAAGUAGUGCUACCCCAGAUAGCUAUGCCAUGGAGCCAAUUUGUGUAACGAAAGACUAUGGAAAAGACUUUGGCUCCAUGGCGAUUGAAUUGUAUGUAUGUGAUCUGAGCGCCAUUCAAUAAUAAUGUGCACUCAGAUCUAAGCUACCUGGGGAUAUGUUGUAGGUAUAUGUUUUAUGUAGUAAAUGUAACAUUGAGUAAUUUUAUGUCUUUUUGUAACCAUGUGGUUAAUGGAGUCUUGCCUCUGUCCUGGGAGAUAAGUUGAUUACUUCCC